rnacentral:rRNA from 1 species
GUACCGCCUGGGGAGUACGGUCGCAAGAUUAAAACUCAAAGGAAUAGACGGGGACCCGCACAAGCGGUGGAGCAUGUGGUUUAAUUCGAAGAUACGCGAAGAACCUUACCUGGGCUUGAUAUCCUAAGAACCUUUUAGAGAUAAGAGGGUGCUAGCUUGCUAGAACUUAGAGACAGGUGCUGCACGGCUGUCGUCAGCUCGUGUCGUGAGAUGUUGGGUUAAGUCCCGCAACGAGCGCAACCCACGUAUUUAGUUGCUAACGGUUCGGCCGAGCACUCUAAAUAGACUGCCUUCGUAAGGAGGAGGAAGGUGUGGACGACGUCAAGUCAUCAUGGCCCUUAUGCCCAGGGCGACACACGUGCUACAAUGGCAUAUACAAUGAGACGCAAUACCGCGAGGUGGAGCAAAUCUAUAAAAUAUGUCCCAGUUCGGAUUGUUCUCUGCAACUCGAGAGCAUGAAGCCGGAAUCGCUAGUAAUCGUAGAUCAGCCAUGCUACGGUGAAUACGUUCCCGGGUCUUGUACUCACCGCCCGUCACACCAUGGGAGUUGAUUUCACUCGAAGCCGGAAUACUAAACUAGUUACCGUCCACAGUGGAAUCAGCGACUGGGGUGAAGUCGUAACAAGGUAACCGUAGGAGAACCUGCGGUUGGAUCACCUCCUUUCUAGA